CUCCCUUGAGCUUGAAGAAAGAAAAACUCCAACUGUUAACAAUUAUUAUAGAAAAUUAACUCCAUGGCUUUAAACAAAGACUCAUUCCAGGCUAUUUUUACAUCACAAAGGAGUAAAAAAACACUCUAGGAACUACAAUGAUAUGAAUUUAAAUUUCUAUGUGAAACACAGACAUAUUUAAUCCUAGAGAUAGAUGUAAGUUCAGUUCCUUCCGUUAGUCUCCUGUUGAAUUUGACUCCUUUCUAACAGUCUGUUGUCUGGACACUGCAGAAUGUCACAAUGGGAGCCAGCAGUACUUCCUUUAAAGAGCCAGCAAGGCUUGCUGUGGUCUUCUAGGGUCACCCAACAAAAAAGGCUUCCCUCUCCUUCCUGAUUUUUCACAGCAUUUGUUGGCCAAGGUUGGCUGUGUCUUUUAGAAAGCCCCCAGUCUUGAUUUCCUAACUGUGAGUGGCUGAUUGCCACAGCUGGCAAUGAUGUUUAUGAGCUUUUGGCUUUUGGGUUUGAACACUGCUGACUUCUGUUGCCAAACUCUGGGUAUUGUGACUUUGUCUUCUAGAUUAUCACUUUAUUACAGGUGAAGGAGGCUGUGAUUCUGUCUGUGGCACAAGGGAAGCAGCAGAGAAGAGGUAAUUUUCUCCCUGGUGAAUAUAUCGGAGGCUUUUGCAAACCACCUCCCAGUGACUGCGAUGAAGUGGUUUCACUCCUGGCAGCAAGGAGCAAGCCCAGCAGUGGUGCUGGCUUGUUGUUCUGUGUCUCUCUGAGCCCCACACACCUGAAAGCCUGCAACCUGGCGUGGUCCCUCCUCUGAGGCAUUUCACAUGAAGCUAGGAGAUAAUAUUCUCUCCCAGGAGUUCCCAAUGGAAAGGCUUACACAGCUGCCAACUCUGCUAAGAGUUGCCUCUCACCUUGAUAGUCAAAUCAAGAUUC
ensembl:lncRNA